rnacentral:pre_miRNA from 1 species
AUUCUACUACCUCCGUUGCACAAUACAUGCCUUCUAUUUGUCAAAAUAUAUAUAUGUACAUAGACAUGUCUUAGUAUAUAGGUACAUCCAUUUUUGGACAAAUGGAAGUCAAGUAUUUUGGAACGGAGGGAGUACACA